rnacentral:rRNA from 1 species
GACAGAGGGUGCAAACGUUGUUCGGAAUUACUGGGCGUAAAGCGUGUGUAGGCGGCUAUGUAAGUCGGAUGUGAAAGCCCCGGGCUCAACUCGGGAAGUGCACUCGAUACUGCGUAGCUUGAGUACCGGAGAGGUUGGUGGAAUUCUCGGUGUAGAGGUGAAAUUCGUAGAUAUCGAGAGGAACACCGGUGGCGAAGGCGGCAACUGGACGAGUACUGACGCUGAGACACGAAAGCGUGGGGAGCAAACAGG